rnacentral:rRNA from 2 species
CACGUAGGGCGCAAGCGUUGUCCGGAAUUAUUGGGCGUAAAGAGCUCGUAGGCGGUCCGUCACGUCCGCUGUGAAAACCCAGGGCUCAACCCUGGGCUUGCAGUGGAUACGGGCAGACUAGAGGUAGGUAGGGGAGAAUGGAAUUCCCGGUGUAGCGGUGAAAUGCGCAGAUAUCGGGAGGAACACCGGUGGCGAAGGCGGUUCUCUGGGCCUUACCUGACGCUGAGGAGCGAAAGCGUGGGGAGCGAACAGG